UGGGGAAUAUUGGGCAAUGGGCGAAAGCCUGACCCAGCCACGCCGCGUGAGUGAUGAAGGCCUUCGGGUCGUAAAGCUCUGUGGGGAGGGACGAAUAAGUCUGUACCUAACACGUACGGGCCCUGACGGUACCUCCUUAGCAAGCACCGGCUAACCAUGUGCCAGCAGCCGCGGUAAUACAUGGGGUGCAAACGUUGCUCGGAAUUAUUGGGCGUAAAGCGCGCGUAGGCGGUCUUUUAAGUCGGAUGUGAAAGCCCUCGGCUCAACUGGGGAAGUGCAUCCGAAACUGAAAGGCUUGAGUACCAAAGAGGGUCGCGGAAUUCCCGGUGUAGAGGUGAAAUUCGUAGAUAUCGGGAGGAACACCGGUGGCGAAGGCGGCGACCUGGGUGGAUACUGACGCUGAGGCGCGAAAGCGUGGGGAGCAAACAGGAUUAGAUACCCCCGUAGUCC
rnacentral:rRNA from 1 species